rnacentral:lncRNA from 1 species
GGGAUGUAUUUCUGGUAUGGUACUUCCUGGAAAUGAGAUUCCUGCCUUGUUCAACUAUAAGAAUGAGGGUGCUUCAAUAUUGUUUAAACUACCUGAAUUCGACGGCAGGAACUUGAAUGGCAUGAACGUGUGCAUUGUUUGCUCAUCUCAUUUAGAGAAAGAAGAAACUAAACACAUUAGAAUCAAAUUGACUAAUUAUACUAAGGGUUUUACCAAGAAUUUUCGUGCUGUAGCAAUUAACUUGGUAAAAUCCUGCGAAGAUCACCUUUGGCAAGGCCAUAUAUCAAACAAUUUUUUCAAACUUGGUAGUGAAGAUGAAGUGGAACUUAUUGUAGACUGUAUGAACACAAUGACUGUGAAGAAGAAUGGAGUAUACUUGGUAUAUGAGCAAGAUGAGGCAAGGCUUAAAGCUAAGAGAGGUCUUGAUAGUGAUGAUGAGGCAGGAUCAAGCUGUGAUACUUCUAGCAAAAAGAUUGAGAAUUGAGACUAGUCCGCAGAACAUUGAGGAAAACAUGGAUGUGGCAUAGCUUCAGCCUUCAGGUUUUGGCGUUUUCAAUGCUGUCUCUGUUGAAGCUUUAGUUCAAGAUGAUAUUUUAUACAUUAUGCCUGUGUAAUAAAGGGUUUUUGGGACGCAUGGGAGAUUCUAGAAGUGUUAGAGUUACCAAAUAUGGAGUUGAAGGUGUUGGACUACUUUUAACGGGUACAUUGGAAACAGUAGUCCAAGUGUUGAGCUACCAAAAUUUAUUUUUUGGUAAAAUUUUCAACCCUAUUUUGAACAUCCAGUGUUUAAUUUAAAAUUUUAUCUUCAAUUAUCAGACUUAUAUAACAUCUAGGGUUUUCUCUCAAGUCGUUGUUUAAUUCACUUCCUUCAUAUUUUCUCCUUCCAAUCUAAUUUUUCUUAGUUCAGGCUGCCCACUUUUAUAAUUUUUGUUAUUUUUGUCACGUCUAUGGAACUAGCUAGUGGUAGAAGAGCUGUUUUUUACGUACAUGAUGCUCCUCUUUGCGACCAUAAACAUUGAAGAAUUUCUUGGUGAUCUCUGAUAUUCUUUGCGUUUUAUGCAUGGUGGUCUACAGGAGGAGAUAAAUAGUGUUAGCACUCUUUUAUCUUUUUUUGAGUAGUGAAUCUUCUAUCAAGUUUGGCUCACAGCGAAAAAAGAAAAAAGAAAUGCUAAAUUUUGAAAGAAAAGAAGACGUUUUGCACCAAAUACUUUUUUGAAAGUAUUUAAUUUAUAAAUACACGUAAUAUUUUUGUGUAGGACGUCCUACUGACUUUUUUAAAAUAGAUAUUGGAUAUAAAAAAAUUAUAAAUUAUAAUUUUUUUACCUGGUCAUAAAAACUACAACAAUGCUAAACAUACAAUAAUAUGAUCAUGUUCUGAUUAUGUCAUGUGUUAAUUACCAGUUUAAGAGUAUAUUUGUUUUUGCGAUUUAACUCGUUUAUAUAUGUGAUUCAACUUGAAUUUUAAACUGUUUUUCAACAAAAAAAAUAUUAAAUUAAUAUUUUUUUAUGUGUUUUUCAAUGAUUUUGAUGUACUAAUAUAAAAAUUUUAAAAAAUAUAAAUUAUUAUUAUUAUUUUUAUGUAUUUUUAAUUAAAAAACACUUUCAUAAAAAUAUUUUGCAUCACAUUAGCAAACACACACUAAGAUGAGAUUGAUUUUUAUAAACCAAAAAUAAUAAAAAAAAAUCUUAUGGUGAUUUUACAAAAUUUUGAGGACUGAAAUUUUAUAAUGAACCCAAAAUCAUAAAACUCGUAAUAUAAGACUCUCUUAUGUUUCUCUCUUCGCACAAAGCAUUAAAAUCUCCAAAUUAAUCAAAUAAAUUAUCAAAAUAUCAAUGCACUGUCAUUUAUCCACAUAGAAAACCUAAAGUAGUGGUAUAAACUAUAAAAUUUUUAUUCACAAUUAACAGGAAAUUGGGAUGUUAACUGACUUACAGAGAGUAAUUUUUUUUUUUCCAAAUCUGGUACUAACAAUACAUUAUUAAGUGGCAGGAUUUGAUUUUUCUGUGUGAUGGAGGAAUCUCCAAUACCAUGUAUUGAUAUAGAAGAACCGUCACCAAUAAGAACAAAGUCUGAACCAUAAUGAUUGCGAAUAUUUUUUAACAUACCUGGAUUACCUGUCAUGUGGUUGGAAACUCCUGUAUGAGAGAUCCAUUCCGUUUCAGUGACAGUAUUGUCCAAGGUGAGAGCAGCUAAAGCUUGUGGAAGGUCUCCGUGUUGAUUUGAUCGUUUAGGCACCCACCAGCAUAUCUUUGCAAUAUGACCUGCUACACCACAGUACUGAUAGGUUUCUUCUCGGUAUAGCUCAUGUUCUGCAGGAGUCAUGCGAUGCUCUCCAGAUGGAGGAGGUCGUUUCUGUUUUGGAUCUGAAGUGGGUCUGAGAGUGUAAGUAUGAGUUUUCUCUUUAGGUUGUUGUGCAUGGAAUCCUCUCCUAGUAGAUAUAAAGCUUUGUCUGCUGACAUGGUUUCCUGAAAAAUGAUGUUGAGGGCGCUGGUGUUUUUGCCCAUAGAAUGCCAGUUGAGGAGUGAAUGAAUUAUUUGUCUGAUUGGUGAACCAGUUUCUUCUUUGGUCUAGGCUCUGUAAUUGAGAGACCAACUCCGGGUAAGAAGGUCUUGGUGGUUUCAGCAUUGUGGUAGUGAAUGUUUCAUAUUGAGGGUCGAGACUUGUGAGGAGGCAAAAGAUUUUUUCUUUGUCUAAAAUUGGUUUCCCAAUAGCUGUAAGGUCAUCGCAUAGUCCUUUGAAGAUUCGAAUGUGUUCUCCAAUGGUUCUGUCAUCUUCUUUGCGAAAAUAGAUGACUUGUUGUUUGAGGGUGAAUUCUUGUUCUUGGGAGUCUUUUGCAUAUUCAUUUUUUAGAGCACUUCAGACAGUAAAGGUUGUAUCGAGGCCUACUGCAAGGCCUAAUGUCUGUUCUGAAAGAGUACCAAUCAACCAGCCAUGAAGAAGCCGAUUUGCUUUCCUCCAGACAAUGUAUUCUUCUGUUAGUCUUGGUGAAGAAUUUGUGGUGGUAGUAGAAUCUGGUACAAUAUAUUUGUUUGGGAUUGAGUCUUUAUUGAUGAGAUGAUCAACCAAGUCUUGAAUUUCUGCAAGAGCUAAGGCUUGUUCUCUCCAUAGUGGAUAAUUUGUGGGGAUGAGCUUGAGGAUAAUGAAAUUACCAACAUUGAGUGACAGAGUUGACAUGUUGUGUGGUUCUGUUAAGAUGUAUAUUCACACAGGCUCUGAUACCAAGCAGAAAUUUAGAGGAAAAAAAGAUGUUUCAAUGGAAGAAAGGUUUUCUCUGUUUCUUUGAAUUUUAACGUGAAUAUACAACUUACUAUUCUAUACGAGCUGCUGGUUUUUUUUUAUAACAUUACAAGUUGCUUAAUUUGGAUACAUUGACUUGCCUAAUCCUUAGCUGAUCUGUUUCCAUAACAAUCCAACGUCUCUUUCUGUUUCUGGUUUCUGUCAUAAACUUCAUUGCUGCUGCUGUUGAUUUAUUUCCAUAAUAAGCCAACGUCUCUUUCUGUUUGUGUUUUGUUACCAUGAGAGUUGGUUUGUUUCCAUGUUACUGGUGAUUCUAAUAACUAGCCAAAAAAUAACGAAAGCAACUAUCUAAUACCUUUCUUCACCCAACUUUCCUUCUUUUUUAUCUGUUUUCAGUUUAUUCUCAAUCAUCUUCCACUUAAACCUUCCAUUAGACGUAUUAUAUUGAUCAACUUGGUCUAUAUGCAAUAGUUUUGCAACCGUUGUAGUUGUACUCUCAAAUUUUUGCCUGAAAUACACGUUGUGAGGGUUAUUUGGGAAACUCAAGAUCUAGGCAUACUCUUCAAAGGUAGGGGUCAUAUCAACAUCCUCGAAGGUGAAACAUUUAUAGCUCGGAUCCUAGAAGUGUAUCAAAGCUUUAACUGUUGAAAUCUAAACGAGAAUCCUUAUUAAAUGAGCAAUUCUCCCAUUUUCUCAAACAGAUUCUCAUCUAUGUACCCCAGAAUUGACGCCAACUUCUUUAUGUUGUCUAUGGAGUAGUGUACUUUAGUUAUGUGCGGUAAUUUCUCAACCUUGAUUUUUGGCAAUCCCCUUCAACUAAUUGUAUCAUCUCGAAUCUUUCCCUAUAUUCCGAAAAGGUCAUGGUUUUAGCUAAGGUCCAAGGUAGAUCUUCCAUCGUGAGGAAGUCUCUACCUUAUCUAUGAUAUCCCACAUCGGAAGCGAGUGUCCAAAGCUAGGGCUUUAUGAGUAAUGUUGGUCGUUGACCUAUUGUACGCAUUUUGGGGUGUCGGGCUUAGAAGUGAGUUCACGUCACCAAGAACAAAACCAUGAGGGCGAAAGGCCUAAAGCAGACACUAUACAGCAGGUUGGGCUGAGCUAUUAUAUUUGGUGUUAGAGCCAAGGACGACUCAUCUUAAGGUGGGGGGAUUGUGAUAUCCCACAUCGCAAGCGAGCAUCUAGAGCCAGGGCUCUAUAAGUAGUGUUGGUCGCUGACCUGUUGUACGUGUUUUGAGAAGUUAGGCUCAAAAGUGGGCCCGCGUCACCAAGAACAAAACCGUGAGGGCAGAAGGCCUAAAGUGGACAAUAUACAGCAGGUUGGGCCAGGAUAUUACAUUAUCAGACUAAAUCCUAAUUAUUUUAAAGCCCAAAAUUUAGCCCACUUUGUUCACCAUUUGUGAUCUUCUUUAGUAUUGUUGGAUUUAUUUUGCCAAGAUGUUUCCAAUAGUACCUGUGAUGUUAUUAUCAGAGUUUUGAUGUGUUUCAACAAUGAAUUGACUAUGAAUAAUAAAUAAUUACAAACUUGAAAGGAGCAAAAUAUAAAAAAAAACAUGUUCAAAAAGAAGGAAAGAAAACACUAAUGCUUGGUUGAUAUUAAGUCCAAAUCAAAAAUCAAAUCUCCAAGAAUCAAGUCCUAAAACUCAUUUUAGACUGCAUUAAUUUUAGAUUCUCCUUAAAAACUUUAAAAGGAUGAAGAAUAAGCUUAUGUUCCGCAAGAACCAACACCAACACAGGGAGAACAGAGAGAACCAGAAAAGACAUUACCAGCCCUCAACCUUCAUUCAAUACCAUCACUACCUAUCCUUACACCACCACCAAUCAUUCACCAAAAUCAAACUAAAACCUCAAGCCAUAAACCAUCCCUUCUCCAACCCUUGAUUCAAUAGCCUUCACUGAAACAACUAGGCUUAACCCGAGAUCACUAUCACACCCAGACAUCGUGACAACCCAUUAAAAAUUAUCACUCAAUCGGAAAAAACAGAUAUCUGACAUCUUGUUCUUUGGGGAAAAAAGGUCUUGUUGAAGGAGUCAUCACUUAAUAUGAUAGUCACUAGGAACCUUAACUAAUUAACAGAGAUUCUAUGGUACGAGACUGGUUACAUGAAAGGAAAGAUACUAUCACCCCUUAAGCAUUCUAUCUAAGGCAGGCUGCAUUGCUGGUUUUGUCUAAAAUCACUAAGUGUUUGUGCUUUCCCCUUUCUUUUUUUCUUUUUUUAUUUCCUACCAUAUUCCUAAGUCUGGUGUUACUGAAUAAUCACUUAUGAAUAUUUCCAACUAUGAUGUUGGUAAAUAGUGCACAACUCAAAAUAUACGGUAUCCUAACUCUGGCGCCAAUGAAUAAACCCGUAAAAUUUAAAUUUUUUUUUAAAAACACUAUUUUUAUUUUAAUAUUUUUUUUUUAGCUGGAUCCAGCAGUCCAACCUAGUUACUAGCCCAAGCAGUAACCGGCUCCCCAAAUGUUGCAUGCAUGCGUGAAUAAUUCACGCGUGCAUGCAACGGUGUCAAGGCAAUUAAGUUUAAAGGGAUGAAAAAGGGGCUCACCUGGUGCAAGGGCUGGCGAGAAGAGUUUGUGCUGGAGUUGUUGUUGUUGCCGGUUGAAAGCUGGUGCUCGGCUGGAGAGGGGAACUUAACCAAUGCUACCCGCGGUUGAGAAGUUGAUUCUGCAGUUGUCUAUGGCUGGAGAAGAAGGUGCCGUUUUUUUCUGCUGGAAGGAAGAUCUUCCACCACUGUUACUGUGUUGCUGAAGACAACACUGCUACUGCUGGGAAGGGAAGAUUGCUGCUGAUUUCGGCUAGGAUGAUGAAGACUCCACUACUGCCGUGACUGGAAGUGACCAAGCCCUACUGCUGCUACUGAGGGGGGUUUCUGUCUUGAGUUCAGACUUUGGAGAAUGAGAGCUGCUGACAGGGUGGUUUGAUCCCUUUUUUUUGCUGGUGGUGGUCGGUGAAGGGUCUUGUGGCCGAUGGCAGUGGUCCCAGGCCAGAAAGAAGGGAAAGAGGGACGGUAGGGAUACCAAGCUUCUUCUCUGUCCAGAUCCCAGGAGGCUGGGGAGCUCAAAGAAGAAGAAAAGGAGUAGGAAACUAAAGAACCGGGGGAGGGGGAGCCGCCUAGUCCAAAAAAUAGGUUUUCGGUCCCCCUCCUUUGUUUUGUGUCCUCCUGAUUUUUUUUAGGGCUCAUUGUAAUGGUCUCUUUUAGGGUUUCUUGUAGUGGUUUCUUUUGUUCUCUUUUUGCAUACACUAGACCUGUAUUUAUAUUUACAGUGGAAGAGUUUCAUUACUCGUGAAAAACAAAGCCUCAAUUAAAAUUGUUUUUUUUUUAAUUUGAAUUUUAUUAAAAAUUAAAUUGAAAAGUAGAUAAUUAUUAUUAUCUUGAAGAUAAAAAUAAGAUGACAAAAGUACAUUGUAGUUCAUAAUGUUCAUGCAGGCUAUUAAAUUAUAUUUUUCAUCAAAAUAAAUUUAUGAUAUUUUAAUUUUACAUUAUAAAUCUUGAAAUUAAAGUAAAAGCUAAUUGACAAAAAUUUGGAUUACAACAAUCACCCUACCCUAGACAUCAUCCCCAAAUCAACUCGGUAGCCUCUCAAUCAGCCUGGAGACGAACAUCAACCUCUAGAAUUCCACAAAAACCAAUAUCAGCCUUCAUCCCCAUCGAAAAACCAGAGCCUUAAUAUGUUUAUAUUUUUCUUUUCAAUCACCAGAGAUUAAAUAGACUUCCAUAUAUGUUCUUUGGAGAUUAGUAUUCGGCAACUUUUAUAUCUAGGUUAAUGUAGGUUUUCAAAUCUGGUCUCUUUUUUUUUUUUUUUAUCAUGCUUAAAGCAUCAGGAGAUUAAUUAGGUUUUUCUAGCAACCGGAAUGUCAUGGUGUCACUCUCUCCUCUUCCUUUGGGCUCAUUAAUUUUAGAUGGCCCUUCUUUUGGCAUGGAAUCAUGAAUAAUUAUUGACCAUCUUGCUUAAUCAUUUCUGGAUGUGAUUAAAUUGCAUCCGUAUGGUCUAUGAUUGUAAUAAAGUAAAGAUCUACCAUAAAUUGCAUCCGUAUGGUAUAUGGUCAAUUAAUUAAAUAUUGAAAGAAAUUUUUUAUAAAAAAAUCAAUUAUACAAAAAAAGUCAAAAAUCUCAUUACCCCUCAUUUAACAAGAUAAUUAUAUAAAAAUCAUUGUAAAAAUAUAAAAUUGGCCAUUGACUCUAGCUUCAAUUUUUUUUAUUCCGCCAGUAUUUUGAUUGAUUCUAUGUAUAAUUAAAAUAAAAAAAAAUUAUUUGUUUCUAAUCAAUUGGGCAACACUAUGAUUUUUUAUUUUAUUGAUUGAGUGAUAAAAAUAUUAAAAUAGAAUAACUAAAAUGAUUUUCAAAGGGAUUUGGAUUGUGUUCUAUAUAUAUCUCUCUGCAAGUUGCCAUCUUUGUGGCCGAGCACUAAACCCAGAACUCCCUCCUCCAUCUUCAGCCUCCUCUCAAACUAGCAGACUCCAUCUCCUCUCAAACAAACAAUCCAAAGAAAUAUAAAAAAUAAAAAAAUAAAGAAGCUAGGGUUAUACAGAAUAAUACAAAUUAAAUACUUAAGAAAAUUUAGUUUAUCCAAAAUAUAUAUAUAAAAAACCUAUAUAUAAAAUAAACUAAUAAAAUAAAAUAAAAAUUAAUUUACUCUUAAUAAAUAAUAAAACAAAAUAAUUCCAUAUUACCCAUCAUGAUAUCUUUUAAAUUAACACGUCCUGGUGUUUUCUUGAUGCAAAACAUGAGGCAAGGGAGGUCAGUCCAUCAAACAGAAACUCAAUAAGACAAAAGUACCUUUGACCUUAACACUUCAGUCUCCAUCAAGGCAACCCAUCCCAGUCAUCAAUAAUCAAAGAAGAUACAAAAACAAAACCCAAUAAAACAUUCACUAUGAACAGUAAGAAAUUGAAAACCUGAAAGAAGCAAAAUAAAGAGAGAAAAAAAGAAUACUUCUUCACCAUCACCGUACAAUGUUCGCAAAGAAAAUCGCAAAGAAAUCGUUUUUGUAAGAAAAUUUAAUUUUUUUUUGUUAAAAUUUAAUAUAGUUUAUACGUUUUGGAUCGUUUUGAUGUGCUGGUAUCAAAAAUAAUUUUUUAAAAAUAAAAAAACAUCAUUAACAUGCAUUUUGGUACAAAAAAUUAUUUAAAAAGCAACCGUUACCACAUUACCAAGCAUCCUCUUAAGCGAUGGAGUAGUACUUUAAUAGAUCUAUUGCCUCCUUUUUUUUUCCCUCUAAAAAAUAUAAAAAAGACACGUUAAAAAACAAAGAAAAAAAAAGAAAAGAAAAAACUAAUUCUUUCUUGAUAUUAAAGAAGCAAUUAGUCCCCACAAACCAAAAGCUAUGAUCUACUUUAUUUUUUAAAAUACAGAGCGCUCCAAUAAUUUGUCAAAAUUACGUGAGAAAAAAAAGUCUUUUCAAUGAAUUUAGUUAUUUUAUUAUAGCUGUUAUUUUUAUUUAAUUGUUUUGUGUUAAAAACAAUGAAAAUCAUAAAUAAAUAAAAUACAAAAUUAAAUAAAAUAUAUAAAAAAAAUAAAAAAAAUAUAGUUGGGGUUAAAAUAGAACUACUAAUUUAGCAUUACAAGCAAAAAUAAAGUUUGGAAAUUUUUAUAUCAUAAAUAAGGAUUUGAUUGAAGAGAAAUUAAAGAAAAAAAGACUUAAUCAGACCUUAAUUUGGCUAAUAUUAGAAAAAUUAAAGAUCAAAGGCUAAAAAAUAUUCAAUUAUAUAAAAUAAUUCAAAACAAAAAAAAAUAUGCAUUUUUUUUAAAAAAAUUAUGCCCAGUCAAAUAACAAAUUACCCCUCCGUUAACAUGAUAAUAAUGUAAAAACUACUAUAAAAAUAUCAAAGGUUAAAAAAAUUAAAUUAUACAAAAAGAUUCAUAACAAAAAAAUAUGCAUUUUUUUUUAAAAAAAAUUAUGUCUAGCCAACUAUCAAAUUACUCCUCAUUUGACAUGAUAAUUAUGUAAAAACUACAGUAAAAAUACAAAAUUGGUUCUUGACUCUAGCUUUAUUUUUUUUAUUUAAGGAUUAUUUUGAUAGUUUCUCUAUAUAAUUAAAAUAAAAUAAAAAUUAUUUAUUUCCAAUCAAUUUGGCAACAUUGUAAUUUUUUAUUUUAUUUUUUUAUAUGUGGUCAAAUACUAAAUUAGCUUAUAUAAAAACCAUUAUAAAAAUAUAAAAUGGACCAUUGACUCUAAUUUUAUUUUUUUAUAUAAUAUAAUUAAAUUAUAAAAAUUUACUUGUUUCCAAUCAAUUUAGUAAUCAGCACUGUAAAAUGUUUUUUCAAUUCCCCUGUAACGUAUUUAAAUUUUUUGAUUGAGUGACAAAAAUAUUAAAAUAGUAUUUUCACUCACAUGACUGAAAUGUUUUUCAAAAGGAUUUAGUGGCAAAGAAUAUAUAUAUAACUAGUGUUAUAUAUAUAUAUAUAUAUAUAUAUAUAUAUAUAUAUAUAUAUAUAUAUAUGCAAGUUGCCAUCUUUGUGGCCGACAUUGACAAAGAAUAUAUGUUGUUUAUUAACAAGAUAACUCAAGAGGUUUUUCUCAAACAAUAGAAAAACAUAUUACAAGCUGCACGCGGCACAUGCACCUCUCUUGAAAAAACAAUAAAAAAAAAAAUCCCACCAUAUAAAAUAAAAUAAUAAAAUAAUGAAUUAGCAUGGAUUUAUGGCUGGCCGCGUUUGUUUUGCAACUAUUGUUGUGUUUGCUGUACAAGGCAGUAAUAUGUUUGAUAAUAAAUUAAAUUAUAUUUUAUAUUAUGGAACUCAUGAAAAAAUUGAACUUGAAAUAUAGUUUUUAAGAAGCAGUUUUUAUAUAUUUUUUUAUCAAGUUCUGUAAAAUUUUAUUUAUUUUUGUGUUUUAAAAAUACUUUUGAAAAAAUUAAAUUUUUUUUAUUUUUUUUACUUCAAAUUAAUAACUUUUUGUGUUUUUAGUUUUUUUUAUGCGAUGAUAUCAAAAAUUAUUUUUAAAAAAUAAAAAAAAUUAUUUUGAUGAAUUUCCAAGUAAAAAGUACUUUGAAAAGCAACUGCAACCACACCUCCAAACACAAUUGGUACUAAACAUCAACUAAUUAUAACCGGAGUUUCAUUUUAGUACUGAAUAAAACUAAUUAGAUCUGCUUAAUUUUAUUAGGACUUUUUAAUCAUUACAAUUGUAAAUUCAAUAUUGACCAAUUAAUUUAAAUAUUGACUAAUAAAACUAAUUGACUCGAAUUAAUUUAAUUUUUUAUUUUAUAAAAAAUAAAAAAAAACAUAUUUGUUUUAAAGAAAAACCAACAUAUUUUAACUAGGUUUUUUUAAAAGUGAAUACUUUAGUUUAUGUUAUGCUAUCUGCAAAUGAUGACCACACGCACACCACAACAAAUAAAAUAUACACUCCCAAGUCCCAACAAUCCGGCUUUCUUCAUGGCCAUUUUUUUUUUAAGAGAGGUACACGCGACGCAUGCGCCGCGCCUCGUUACAUGCAGAUGACUUUUGGGUUUUUUAAAAAGUUGGUGUAGUUUUAUGAAUGUUAUAGUUUUUAAAAAUAUUUUUUUAUUUUUUAAAAUUUAUUUAAAAAUGAUCUAAGAUGUAAAAAAUUUAAUUUAAAAUAAAAAAAUUAUUUUUUAAAAACACACUUUUAAAAUAUAAAAAUAAACCAGAAUUCAUGAUUAAAUUUGAUCAAGUAAUUAAUGCAAAAGAAGGGACAUGUAUGCAUUUCGAGAAAAAAAAAUCAAAAUCCUUAAAUUUACUAUUAUAUUUAUGUCAAUUAUUUAUUUCAAUCAUUUUUUUGUUAAUUUGGUUAAAUAAUUCUUAUGUUCUUUAAAUGUGUUCAUUUAAAACUUGUAUUUUCUAGUUUUCCCAAAUAAAUUAAUAACUAAUUUUGAUCAUGUCUUGAUGUUAAAUUAAGUUAAAAUAUUUUUUUAAAAAGAAACAUAAGGAAAACUCUAUCUAAUUCCUACACCAAGAUUUGGUAAAACUUAUCAAUCACUUAUUUUAUUUUAACUUUGAAUUUUUUAAUUUGAAUAAAAAAUAACAUAUAAGAUAAUAUUUUAAUAUUUUAAAAAAUAAAAUUAAUUUUUGGGAUGAAAACAAUUAAGAAAAGAAAGGAUAAAUUAAAAAGAAUUGAGAUAGGUUGCCCUAGGCCUAGGUAGCGGAACACCUCGGUUAGUGAGUUAGCUCAUAAGUAUGUAUUUGGACCAUGGAAGCUUGACCCAAGCACUUAAAAAAAAAAAAAAAAAAGGGUAGAUGAGGACAAUGCAUCGCUCAUUCUUUUUAAUAUAUAUAUAUAUAUAUAUAUAUAUUAAUUAUUAUUCUAUUUAUUGAAGAUAUAAUUACACGCUUUCACAUGCAUAAAUCUUGCUCCCUGCAUUAAUAUUCUCUGGAAAAAAAAAAAGAGAGACAACUCGUAUAUAUACGCAACUUUUCAUUGGUCAUCGCAGGACGAGGGAGAAUUAAUCCUUCCAUAACUUUUGCUAUCAACAAGCACAGUGGGCAUCACAGUACGAAAAAGAUCCUUUUCUUAUCGCGAUAGCUAGGUCUUUGGCUGUCUCCCUCGGUAAUUAAAGUGUCCCUCGCAUUAAUUUUGGAGUCAUUAAUUUUGUACCAUUUCUCGUUCUUUCUCUCGCCACCAUAGCUUUCAUGUUACAAUGACAUCUGCGUCUUCAUCUUCACAUUCAUUUUCAAAACCGUGGAUUUAUGACGUGUUUUUGAGUUUUAGAGGCGAGGACACGCGCAAAAAUUUCACCGAUCAUCUCUACUUUGCCUUCAAAGAUGCUGGAAUCAACACAUUUAGAGACGACAAUGAGCUCCGAAGGGGUGAAGAUAUUUCGACGGAGCUAUUACAAGCUAUCCAAAAGUCUAGGAUUUCAGUCAUUGUGUUCUCAAGAAAUUAUGCAAAUUCAAGAUGGUGUCUUGAGGAACUAGUGAAGAUCAUGGAGUGUAGGAGAAGUUGUAGGCAACUUGUUUUUCCUAUAUUCUAUGAUGUUGAUCCAUCUGAUGUAAGGAAACAGACUGGAAGUUUUGCAGAGGCCUUUGCUGGACAUGAAGAAAGGUUUGUGCUCCAGACAGACAAGGGCAAGGUGGCGACAUGGAGGAUGGCUUUGACUGAAGCUGCAAAUUUGUCUGGAUGGGAUUUGAGGAAUGUUGCGGAUGGGUAAGCACUCAUAAAAUUAACCAUCCUUGCUAAUUUAAUGGACUUUAUAAUUUGAAUUAAUAGUAAUUCUUACGUUAUCAAUGAUAUGAUCCAAGUGAUAAAAUUCUCAAAUUUAAACCUUUUGUAUAUAUUAAUAAUAAUAAUAAAAAUUUUGAACCAUUUAGAUUGUUUUUUUUUUCCUACCAUCCGAAAUCGUAUGAUUGGGGCAGGCAUACAAAGCUAUUAAGGAUGAAGAUGUUAUUAUUAAAAAAAAAGUAUAAUUUUGGUAGAAGAACUAACAACUUGCAUGUACAAAAAUGCUAUAAAUUUUCAAAACAAUUUCAAUGAAACAAAAAAAGUUGCAAAUGGCAAUGAUACCAAAGGAGUCCUUAACGUGCGUGAGAAAGAGGUUUUUUUUAUUUUUUUGAUUUUUUUUCUUGUGAUAGGAGAAAGAGGCUAGUUGAAUUCCAAUAUACAGAGAAAAAGUAAUUAAUAACACUAAUUUUAAUCAUAAAAAUAAUUGUUCAGGGUAUCUUUUGUUAAUGAGAGUUUCAACUAGGUUAUUUUUUAUUUUCUUUAUUUUGGUUUGAGUUAAUUUUGGAUUUUUUAGUUAUUUUUAGGUUGUUUGAGAUCAUAAAUAAAUUUAGGGUGUUUUUUAGGUUUUUUGAAUAAAAAAUAAGGUUUUUGUUUUUUACAAAAAAAAGAGAUAAAGCUCUAUUUUUCUUAUAAUCCUCUAGUUACUGAAUUUUUCAAACAGCAAAUGACAUGUUAUCUAUUUAAUUUUUUUAAAAAAUAGAUAACAAGUCAUUCACCCCUUAAAUAAAUAAAUAAAUAAAUAAAAACAAGCUCUGUUGUGUGGGUUGGGUUUUUUUUAGAUGGCCCAAGUAUGUAGGUUUACAAUGCUUGUUUUGGACUUUUUUUUAAAAAAACAAAUUAUAUUAGCUAAAAGAUAAAUUUAAUAAAAAAAUUAUUAAAUCUAGUUGAAACCAUAAUCGAAGUAAUAGGUUUGACAGAUUAAUCUAAAAAAUCUGAGCUGAUCUAAUAUUUUGCUAUUUGAAUAAUAUUUUAAAAAAUUAUGUCAGAUUGAACUUUUUUAAAACAUUUGGUUUGUUUUGAGUUUUUCUUUGUGAAGUAUUUUUUUCUAGGAUAUAUUUAUUCAAAUUUGAUUUUAACAUGAUUGUAACAGUGUGAUUAGAUCGUGAAACUCAAAUUAAUUAAAUAUAUUGUAAUCUUAAUUUUUUUUUAAAAAAAGAUAAGCGAUACUAAAAUUUUUUUAAGUAUUUUUUAAUUGAUUUUCAUGAUGUGUUUUGUUUUGAUUUUUAUAGGAUUAAUUAUUUUUAAUUUGGUUUUAGGAUUAAUUCGUUUUAAUUUUUAUAUUAUACAAUUUUUCAUCAUCUUGAUUUUUUUAAAUCUAAACCACACUAUUACGGAUUGUACCUUUACUUGGGAAAUUUCUACUGAUUUUUGACAAAGGGCAAAAGAAAAAACAGAGAUUGUGAUAUGUGAUCAUUCACUUAAUUAAUUAAUAACUUUAGAUGGGAAGAAAAUAAUUAAUAAAAAAAUUUCUUUUGUAGAAAUCACAUUAUUCUAAGAAGUUUGUCGACUAUUAACCAUUUGAUGAUACUACCAUCCCGUAGCGGCUAAGAGUUAAUUAAUUAAAAAAAAAUUGUUUUCGUAGAAAUCACAUUAUCUUAAGAAGUAUGUUGAUUAUUAAUUAACUAUUAACCAUUUCCUUCUAAAAUUUUAGUUUGGUCGCUCAUAUUUUUAUAUUUAUGUUAAUAGGUAAUUCAUCCUCUUUAGUUAUUAGAAAUUUAAAUUUUAGUUAUUAAAAAUUUAAUUUUAAUAUCAAAUUUAAUUUUUUAAUUUUUUUCUUGUGAAAGAAGAGAGAAGCUAGCUGAAUUCCGAUGUAGAGAGAGAAAAUCUUCAUUAAUACUAAUUUUGAUAAUAAAAAUAGUUGAUUUUAUCAAUAAGUUUCAUUUGAUAAUGAGAGUUUCAUCUAGAUAUUUUUUUUCAUUCACCUUUCCUAAGAAGGUAGAUUUACCCGUGAAAAGAUUUUUAGGUUUGAGUUGAUUUUCAUGUUUUUGAGCUGCUUUUGGGUUGUUUAAGGCAAUAAAUAGAUUUAGAAUGUUUUCUAAGUAUUUUGGGUAAAAAAUAUAGUUUUAUGCAAACAAAAAAUAGCAUAACCCUCAUUUUUCCUGUAACUCUCUAGUGAAUUUUGCGAACAUUAAAUAACGUGUAAUCUGCUUAUUUUUUUUGAAAAAAGAUGAAUGACAGGUCGUUUGCCCCUUUAAAAUAAAAUAAAAACAAGACAAGUUGGUCUAUCAUGUCCUCGCAUCUACCUCUCUUUAGACUUUUUUUUAAUAAAAAAAAAUUAUAUUAGGUAAAAAAUUAAUUUAAUAAAACAAAUAUUAAAUCUAGUUGAGACUAUGACCCAACUCAUAAGUUUGACAAAUUAAUCUAAAAUAAUUAGGUUUAUCCAUUAUUUUAUCAUCAGAAUAAUUUUUUAAAAAAAUUAUUUUAGAUUGAAUUGAAAAAAAAACAUUUGGUUUAUUUUGAAUUUGUUAUUGUGAUGGAUUUUUUUUUGUGGGAUUUAUUUGUUCAAAUUUGACUUCUACAUAAUUGUCAUAGUGUGAUUAGAAGGUAAAACUCGGGUUCAUUAAAUAUAUUAUUAUCUAAUUGUUUUCUAAAAAUAAGCGAUAUGAGGAGUUUUUUAAUGUAAGCAUUUUUUUAAAUUGAUUUUUUUGGUUUUUGUAGGAUUAAUUAUUUUUUAUUUGGUUUUUGUAGGAUUUAUUGGGAUUUUUUCGAUAUGCAGCAUUUGUCAAUGUAUAAAUCACUUCAUUGGCUUGUGAGGAGUGAUCGAUCUUGAAAAUCUAACCUGCACUAUUCAAUUUGAAACCGAGCAAUUUGGAUCAUCAAUUGGAUCAUUUUUUGAAUCUUGGACCAAGAUUCAUGAAACCGAGCAAUUUGGAUCAUCAAUUGGAUCAUUUUUUGAAUCUCUUGGACCAAGAUUCAUGUUGCAAAUCCAAGUUGAUUUUUUCUCAAUUGAUGAUUUUUCAAAUCUGUUAUAUAAUUAACCUCAUAGUGGGUUUUGUUAUAAGAACGUGCCUUUUGAAAAGAGAGCUGGUAUCUAGAGCUUAUUUGUUGUUAGGCACUAAACUACUAGUCGAUUUGGUGUAUGGAUAUCAUCACUAUCCAAUUUAUUUUUAAAAAGAUUUCAAUAAAUAAAUAAUUUUAAUAAUUUAGGUAACGAUACAUACUGAGAAGAAGAACAUUAUCAGUAGAUAAUCCAGAGUUGAGUAACUAAAUGGUGAUCUAAGGAAGGAGAUGUUUUGCUUGGGGCUGGAUUAAUUUUCUUCAGGAAAACUACAAAUUAUAAAAUAUUUUGGAUUGUGCUUUACAUAAUACAUUCUAAUUGGCUGUUUUAUGCUUAAAGUCUCACUAUUUUGUUGACAAUUAUUUGCAGGCAUGAAGCAAAAUUUAUAAAGAAAAUUGUUGGGGAGAUUUUGAGAGAACUGAGUAGCACAUACUUGUUCGUAGCCUUCUAUCCAGUUGGGAUAAAUCCUCGUGUGCAACAAUUGAACUUUUUGUUAAAUGCUGGAUCAAGCGAGGUCUGCAUUGUAGGAAUAUAUGGAAUGGGAGGCAUAGGGAAAACAACCAUUGCCAAGGCCAUGUAUAAUGAGUUGUUUCAUAGUUUUGAUGGGAAAUGUUUUCUCGCCAAUGUUCGAGAAAUUUCACAGCAGCCAAAUGGUCAUGUCAAACUGCAAGAACAACUUCUUGUUGAUAUCCUGAAGACAGACAAGAUUAAGAUUGGCAAUGUUGACAGAGGAAUGAAUAUGAUAAAGGAAAGACUUCACAGUAGAAGAGUUCUUCUCAUACUCGAUGAUGUAGACAAAUUAGAUCAGUUACAAGCGAUAGCGGGGAGUCGAGAUUGGUUUGGUUCAGGAAGCAGAAUCAUUGUAACAACAAGAGAUAAGCAUGUUCUGACAGUUCUUGGAGCUGAUCGAGUAUACAUGGCCAGAGAAAUGAAUGACAUUGAAGCUUUGGAGCUCUUUAGUUGGCAUGCCUUUCGAACAAGCCAUCCCGUCGAAGAUUAUAAGGAGUUGUCAGAACAAAUUGUUGACUACUGUGGAAGAUUGCCACUAGCACUUGAAGUAAUAGGCUCUUUUCUAUUUGGUAGAAGUAUAGUUGAAUGGAAAAGUGCAUUGGAGAAACUGAGAAGAAUUCCUGAUGAUCAAAUUCAGAAAAAGCUCCAAAUAAGUUUUGAUGGCCUGAAUGAUGACACACAGAAAGAUAUAUUCCUCGAUAUAUCAUGUUUCUUUGUUGGGAUGGACAAGGAAUAUGUGUUACCAAUAUUAAAUGGCUGUGAUUUUUUUGCAGACAUUGGACUGAGUGUCCUCACUCAGAGGUGCCUUGUAUCUGUUAGUGAAAAGAACAAGCUAAUAAUGCAUGAUUUGCUUCGAGAUAUGGGGAGAGAAAUUGUUCGUGCGCAAUCACCGAACAAUCCAGGCAGGCGGAGUAGAUUAUGGAUUCGUGAAGAAGUUGGUGACAUUUUGAGAAGAAACAUGGUGAAUGCAUUCAAACUUAUCAUCAUAUAAAUUCAUGUUUUGAAAAAAUAUCUGAUCCUUACCUCUUAACGUGGUUUAUUGACAGGGAACUGAAGCAAUCCAAGGGAUGGCCAUAAACUUGCUGAAAGUGAAUGACCUGAAUGUGGAUGUAAAUGUGUUUUGCAAUCUGCAAAACCUAAGGCUGCUCCAGCUCAAUCAUGUAAAGCUUGGUGGAGGCUGUGACUAUCUUUUGAGAAAAUUAACCUGGCUCUGUUGGCAUGGAUUUCCACUCUCGUUCAUACCUGAUGGCCUCUAUGGGGAAAACCUUGUUGCUAUAGAUAUGCGAUACAGCAGCCUCAGACAGGUUAAGAAUUCUAAGGUACGCUGAAACUACCAAAUAUUUAUCUAAACCUUAGUAUGCUGUCACACAAUAACAAUUUCUUUCUAAAUCCCGAAUCUUGCUUGUUUUCCUCAGCUCCUUUGGAAGUUGAAGUUUCUUAAUCUCAGUCAUUCUCAUUACCUAUCUCGGACUCCGGACUUUUCCAGACUUCCACAUCUGGAGAAGUUAAAACUCAAAGACUGCAGAAGUUUGGUUGAAGUUCAUCAUUCUAUUGGAUACCUUGAUAGUCUUGUUUUGGUAAAUUUCAAAGAUUGCAAGCAACUUAUGAGGCUCCCGAGUAGCUUCUGGAAGUUGAAGUCUAUCGAGAUUCUUUACCUCUCAGGCUGCUCAAAAUUUGAUGAAUUGCCUGAGGACUUGGGAGAUUUGGAAUCCUUGACGGUUCUCCACGCAGAUGACACUGCCAUAAGACAAGUACCAAAUAACAUAGUCAGAUUGAAGAACCUCCAAGAUUUAUCACUUUGUGGCUGUAAAGGUUCAACUUCCGCAACAUUUCCUUCGCGUUUGAUGUCAUGGUUUCUGCCAAGAAAAAUUCCCAAUCCAACCAACCUGUUGCCACCUUCCUUUCAUGGCUUAGACAGACUCACAUCAUUAUCGCUCAGGGAUUGCAAUUUAUCUGAUGACGCGCUUCCUAGAGAUCUUGGUAGCUUACCCUCACUAACUAAUCUGGAAUUGGACCGUAACAGUUUUCAAAGUCUACCAGCUGGCUUGAGUAGUCUUUUGAGACUUACAAGUCUAAGAUUGGACGAUAACACCAGGCUACAAACAAUUCCAGCUUUACCUAGAAAUUUGGAUACCUUGCGCGCUUCGAACUGCAUAUCAUUGGAAAGAUUACCAGACAUAUCAGUAGCUUCACGUAUGCGUUUGCUGUAUAUUGCUAAUUGCCCCAAACUGAUUGAGGCUCCAGGAUUGGAUAAAUCAAGGUCCAUUUCACACAUUGACAUGGAAGGGUGCUACGAUAUCUCAAAUACUUUAAGAAAUAGCAUGCACAUGGUAUUCUUUCUCUGUCUCUCUUUACUUGUUAAACAUAUUUUACUAUGUUGUUGAAUAAUAUAUAAAAUAAAAAUGGUACUCUUUGUGCAGGGAUGUUUUUCUGGUUUGGUACUUCCUGGAAAUGAGAUUCCUGCCUUGUUCAACUAUAAGAAUGAGGGUGCUUCAAUAUUGUUUAAACUACCUGAAUUCGACGGCAGGAACUUGAAUGGCAUGAACGUGUGCCUUGUUUGCUCAUCUCAUUUAGAGAAAGAAGAAACUAAACAAAUUAGAAUCAAAUUGACUAAUUAUACUAAGGGUUUUACCAAGAAGUUUCGUGCUGUAGCAAUUAACUUGGUAAAAUCCUGCGAAGAUCACCUUUGGCAAGGCCAUAUAUCAAACAAUUUUUUCAAACUUGGUAGUGAAGAUGAAGUGGAGCUUAUUGUAGACUGUAUGAACACAAUGACUGUGAAGAAGACUGGAGUAUACCUAGUAUAUGAGCAAGACGAGGCAAGGCUUAAAGCUAAGAGAGGUCUUGAUAGUGAUGAUCGGGCAGGAUCAAGUUGUGAUAACCUACUUCAAGCAAAAAGAUUGAGAUUUGAGACUUGUCAGCAGAACAUUGAGGAAAACAUGGAUAUGGCAUAGCUUCAGCCUUCAGGUUUUGGCGUUUUCAAUGUUGUCUCUGUUGAAGCUUGAGUUCAAGAUGAUAUUUUAUCCAUUAUGCCUGUGUAAUAAAGGGUUUUUGUGAUGCAGGAGAUUCUAGAAGUGUUGAGCUACCAAAAUUUAUAUUCUGGUAAAAUUUUCAACCCUAUUUUGAACAUCCAGUGUUUAAUUUAAAAUUUUAUCUUCAAUUAUGAGACUGGUAUAACAUCUAGGUUUUUCUCUCAAGUCGUUUAAUUCACUUUCUUCAUAUUUUCUCCUUCCAAUCUAAUUUUUUUUUGUUCAGGCUGCCCACUUUUGUAAUAUUUUUGUUAUUUUUGUCACGUCUAUGGAACUAGCUAGUAGUAAAAGAGCUGUUUUCCGUACAUGAUGCUCAUGCGAGACCAUAAACAUUGAAGAAUUUCUUGGUGAUCUCUGAUAUUCUUUGCGUUGUAUGCAUAGUAGUCUAUAGGAGGAGAUAAAUAGUGUUCGCACUCUUUAUCUGUUUUGAGUAGUGAAUCUUCUAUCAAGUUUGGCUCACAGUGAAAAAAGAAAAAAGAAAUGCUACAUAUUCAAAGAAAAGAAGUUUUGCACGAAAGACUGUUUUUGAAUAUAUAUAUGGAUUCUACUUAUUCUUUUUUAAUUUUGGUUAAAAAAACUAUAAUUUAUAAUUUUUCUAAAUUUAUUUUUUUAAAUUGCAGCCAUAAAAGCUACCAUAAUAUUAAAUACAUACUGAUAUAAUCAUUUGAUUAUGUCAUGUGUGAUUAUGUCAUGUGUCAAUCAUCAAUCUAAAGGUGUGUUUAUUUUUGCAGUUUAACUCGUUUAUAUUUAUGAUUCAACUUAAUUUUUAAAUCGUUUUUUAAUUAAAAAAAAUAUUAAAUUGAUUUUUUUUAUGCAUUUUAAUGAUUGUGAUGCAAUAAUAUAAAAAAUAAAAAAUAUAAUUAUUUUUUAUGUAUUUUUAAUUGAAAAAUAUUUUUAUAAAAAUAUUAUGUAUGACAUUAUUAAACAUAUAAUAAGGUGAGAGUGAUUUUUAUAAACCAAAAAUAUUAGUUUUACAAUCCGUAAUCAAGAGCUAUGUGACAUUUUAACUGUUAGAGAUGCACAACCUACAAUUUCGCUCUGACAAAGACUGAGUUGAGGACUUUCAAUGCCCCUGCCAAACUGAAUGACUUGGAACUUGACUUCAAUUUUGUUGGAUUACCAUACUUUUUUUUAGCUGUUUCUCAGUUUCCUUGCCCGAACCUUUGAUUUCACUGUUUAAGUUAGCAUGCAUUAAAAAAUCGAGUUCUGUGCUUCAUUACACUCUUCUCAUUCUUGUAUGCAAUCAUAUUCUUAUAAUGCUGGUUCAAGGCCUUCUAAUAAUAGAUGCUCUCAGGUGGCAAGAUCGAGCUCCAUGCCUCCAAAUGGUAAGGACACAUUGUACCAGAGCUUGCCACCUGGUGUAAAAUCAGCUCUACGUUCCAAACUGCAAUCGUUUAAUGUCAAAGAUGAGGUACUACUUUUUCACCUCAAAGAAGAGAGGGUAGAAAGUCUUAUUUUCUCAUUCAUGCGGAUGCUCUAGUUGUUUACUUCAUUGUGAUUUGUAUGUCCAGCUUACCAUCACAGAAAUUAAAGAUACGAUGGAGAAGACACUGCAGUGGCUGGUUCCACUGUCCACUAACACAGCCAAGUAUGUAAUGCCAUUAUUUUCCCUCCCCAAAAACAGAAACUUUUCCUGCUUUAAAUCCUUAAUUUUCAAUGUCUCAUUGCCUAAUUGUUAACAUUUUUCUUUGAAUUUUAAUUGAUUCGGAACAGAGUGCAUCACGGUUUUGGUUGGGUUGGAGAGUGGGCAAGUUCCGGGUGAGUCCAUUGCUUUCUUCCAAUUGUUUUUAAGAAUUUCAUUUUUGCAAUUUAUUUUGUUAACAACAAGCAAGCUGAAUGGCCCGAGUAUAAGAAGAUUUGGUCGUGGUGUGUACAGGUCUGAGGCCAACAGAAAACCUGCUGCUGGAGCAGCUGAUAUAAUCCAGAUUGAAACACUCCACCAUGCGGACAAGGAGAAAACAGAAGCCUAUAUUCUUGAACAACUAUUAUGGCUUCACCAUCUUGUCAGCAAAACCAAGAGUGUUUCUAGUGGUGUUAGCAUAAAAUCUCAUGCCAAGUCUGCAAUUGGCACACAGGGUCAGAAGUCGAAUCAGAAACAAGAGCAAGAGUCACCCAAUGCAGCUGACUUGCCUCACGCUGUAACGUCCAAUGCACCACCACCAACAACUACCGAAGACCAAAAAAUAUUGCAGGAUGCAAGUGAGGAAAACCAGAUAGAAGAAAAUAGUAAGAGCCAGGGCAUUAACUCAGUGGAUACCAAGUUGAGAGAAGAUGGUGGGCUGAGUACGACUAACAACAAUUCCCCUAGAAGGAAAAGCGAGGACUCAGCUACUGUCAAAAGUGUUCCUUCUGUGCUUCCCAUCAGUGAUAUUGGUAUUGACAAGGAGGAAGAAUUGGAUAAGAUUGACAGAGUUGAUGUGCUCAGAUACAAGGGAAAGCCUGGACUUGUUACUGCCAAAACUUGAAAAACCUUCUUUCUUUGGUUCCACCAUUGGCUUAUGGGAUGACAAGGAGAAACGAUCGGAUGUUAAUAGUAGAGUUGAUGUGCUCAGAUAACUUAUUGAAUGAUAUACAUGAUAUUGAGUGACAAGAAAAUUCUAGUAAUUUAUAGACUGGAAAAGCCAUGUUGUCCUUGUGCAUUUGGGCUAAGCCUGGCUGCAUAUACAGGCCUUACAGCUUCUGUAAUGAUGGACAGAAUCACAGUUUAUACACUACUAUAUAUACUGAAAGCAUGCUGUACUUGGACCACAGGUCCUGUGGAACUGAAAUUGAAAAAAUUGCCUUGGAUUCUGGUGUAUAGAGUGCUGUAUCAUUCUUUUUCUCAUCUGGCAGUUUCAAUCUUGAGCAUUUUUCACUUCUUUUUGGCAUAAUUACUGGUGAUCCGCUGACUCCAGUCUGGCUCAAGAGUUAAUCUGAUUAACAGCAUGCAAAGCCACCAACCGAUGCAGAAUCUCAUAAAAAUAAGCUUAACUUUUAAUCCAACUAUUAUACCUAUCAUCUAUUUUCGGUUUUUUAGUUCCGAACUAGGCAUGAAAGCUACUGUUUUGGUUUUUUUUUUAUUCUUAUUCCUAGUUAAAUUAUGACUUUCAAUUUAAUUUGAAUUUUACUAAUUAAAACGUUUCAACCAUAUAGGCUAUUUUUCAAAAGAAAAUCAAUGUAAUAAAGACUUGUAAGAAUAAAUAACAGGUUUCUCUGCAAUUCUCUAUAGUUAAAGGCUCUAAUAUUAGGACCUGAAAACGCUCCUUUUCUUCCCUGUAGUUUAGGGCUGUAAAACUUCAAAAAUUGAGGAACCUUAUCCAUGCUUUACAAGAUCUAUCAUGCAGAGAAUGCAUACUAAUGAAGACAAAUAAAAGAAAAAAAAAUGCCCGCUAAAUUAACCAAAAAAGGGGUAAUAUUUUGGCAAAAGUUAGAUAUAUAACUUGUAUGAAAAAUUCAGAAUAUUGGGUUUGUGUGUGAGCCAAGAACUAAGUUUUAGCCAUUGAAGAGGGCGAGUGAAUUUUUCAAUAUAAUCUCAGGGAAGUAAACACAGAGGUUCAAAAAAGGAGAUCUGAAGACGAUGGAGUAUGUUACCAGAGCUGACGCGAAUACACCAUGAAAUGUUAUUCUCCUCUCCAUCACUUCUCACUCGUUAAAUCAAUGCGUUUUCGUAAUCUGAUUCUGACCAGCUCUUUCUCCAUCCACUGAAGCAAAUGAUUCUAAAUAAUAACUAGCAAAAAGGAAAAUUUGUAAAACAAGUAAUAGAGCAAUAAAUGGCUACUGUUUUGGAACAUAAAAGAUACAGAUUGUAGGGAUGGAAUGGACAUCUUCAUGUCCUUUCUGUUUUAAAGUUAGAUAAAAAUUCAUUUCAAAAUUACCCUUUAAAACAAAAUUUAUUUAAAAGGAUUUUUCAAAUUUUCACUUUUUAUAAUACAAUAAAAUAACUAAAUUAACCUUCAAAAUAAAAAUUCUUGAAUUGGCAUCCAAAAGCUUUUUUUGUAUUUUUAUCACUGUUCUUUUUAGUUAUAAUAAAAUUAACUAAGAUUUAAUUUGGUAUUUUAAUAAAUAUAAAAUAUUAAUUAAAAAUAAAAAAUGGUUGCAUGUGUCACUGAAUGUGAGACACCAACACUCUUCAAGUGAUGUGUAUGGUAUCUCUAGGUGGCUAAACGCAACAUUGGAAGAAUCUUGAUAUGCUCUUCCCUAUGGUCAAAUGCAUAUACACAACGAUGAAGCGAUUGAGUUUUGAUCAAAUUUUUUUUUUUUUUUCUCUUUUCUCUCUUAUCACUUAAUGUUUUGCUCAUUCUCUCGAUAUUUGAAUUAAAAAUUGAGAAUUUUGUUCUAUGAUUUUUUUAUGUUUGUUUUUUAUGGGAUAAUUUUUCUCUCAAAACUUGGAUCAUUAAUUUAAAAAAUUAGCCUAAUUUGAUUUUAGUUUUUUUUAGAUUUUUUAUUAUUGAAUUUUUUUUUUCAAUUUCAUCAUUCAAUAUUAAAUUAUUGGGACUUAAGCUUUGUAAUUUUUUUCUUUAUUUUCUAUGGAGUUAUCUAGAUCUCAUGUCUCGAGUCGCGGGUUAAUUGAGUUAACUUAGAUUGACUCAGGUUUUUUUUUUAAUUUUUGUCUUUCUUCAUUUAGUUUGCUUGAAAGUUGACUUCUAUUUUUUUUUUAAUUUUUUUUGUUGGGCUAUGAAUUUAGCAUGGAAACUCGAGUCAUGUUUUUAAUUUUUUUAAAAAAAAAUUGAUUUUUUUUUCGGUUCAUCCUUCAACGUUUGAUUUGUUGGUAAUUGAGAUUCAGAUUUUUUUAUUUUCCUCUAUAUGAAGUUAUCCAAGAUUAUCAUGUUCUCAUUUAAUUUUUGCUUUAUUAUCGAAUAAGAUCGUUGAGAUAUUUUAAAAAUAUUUAAAUGAUAUCUUUUUAUAAUAUUGAUAAGUGUUUAUUUUCUUUCAUUAGUCAUUGUUUUUUUUUUUAAAUUGUUGUUGGCUUUUUCUAUACUCGUAUUAUUAAAUUAACUGAACUUAUUAAAAAAAUUUGUAUCAAUGAUCAAGGUCCUAUAUUUUUCAUGCUCCUUUAAAAAUCAAUCAUUAAAUGGGUAUUUUUUAAGUUAAAAAAAUUGAUCUAACUCACGGCGUAGCGUGACAGUGCUAAGGAAGACAAUUUGAUAUGAACUAGAUGGAUACCAACCCAUCUUGACCCAAGUGGAUGAUUAAUUUUUAGAUAGUUAUUUUAUCUGAUGAAUAAUGGGUACAGUAUGAAUAUUGUUAAACCCAACUCGAAACUCACCCAAACCUAACUUGAAAUAUAUAUUUAUAUUAUAUAGGUAUAAUUGUAUAUUAUCUAGAUUUUUUUAAUACAAUUUGAUAUAUAGAUAUAGAUAUAAAAUAUAGAUAUCAAGAAAUCUAUUCUAUCAAUUGUAAUAUAUAUAAAAGAGUUGACAAACUCUCUUAGAUUGCACUACAAUGGGUAUCCUAGGAUUACAUAUUUAUAAAAUAAUUAUUAUUUUACUAUUACUUAUUAUUCAAUAAAAUAAAAUAAAAUAAUAUAUAUAUAUCAUGCACAUAUUUUAAGACAUGAUUUAUGAGUGAAUGAUCACGGAAAAUAAUUUGUCAACUUGAGAUCUCUACUAAAUAAUAUAUAUUCAUGUCAGUUGAAAAAUACAAAUAAAAAAAUACAACUUAUGAACUACUAGCUAAAUUGCAGAGAGUUUGUCAAUUGCCGGCAAACGCGUUGAAAGCCACCAAUGGAACACGCUUCUCAACUAAUGAUCACGACCAGUGAAAUUAAUGAAGUAUGACGUGUGCACUUGAGGGUAUAGCUGCUGUGGUCACUCGUGGAUUUAUUCCGCUCUCUCUCGGGUUCGAUCCUCUCUGUGCACGCCUGUCACCCCCGCGGUGCCUUACCUGCUCCUAGGCUUGCAGGAUGUCCCUUGGGGAAUAGUCGUGAUGCGCGUAAGCUGGCCCGAACACCCCACGUGAAUCAAAAAAAAAAAAUGAAGUAUGACGUGUGUCACGUCAAGUAUGACAUGUGAUCCUGAAAUGAUGUUAGAUUUUAAAUUUAUUUUUUAAAAAUUAUUAAUUUAAGUUUAUAAAUUUCAAAAACAUUAAAAAAAAAUUAUAUAAUUAUUAAUUUUGAAAUUAUUAAAAUUAAAUUUAAUCAAAAUAUAUGUAAUAAUGAAGUAUGGCGUGUGUCAUUAAUACUAUAAUAUCGAACAUUACCUUAAUAUCUAAUAUAUCUGAUCUCACUAAUUAGUAUUUAUUAAUAUUAUUAAACUUAGCUCUACCCAUCAUUUUAUUGGAGAUCAUAAUUAUUUUAAAUUGAUUUAAUUAAAUCAAAAUGAUAUCAUGGAAACAGAUUUUAAUUGGAUCAACUUAAACUAAGUUAACUUUAGGAUAUAUUUUUUUAUAUAUUUGACUUGGGGUAAUAGACAAAUUGAUUAAGUUUUAAAUUAAAUAAAAUAUAAUGAUAAUUUUAUAAAUAAUUUAUUUUUCUUAUUAAAUUUAGAGUGGUGAUAUAAAAUGUUAUCUAUGAACGUUAUAUUUUUUUAAGGAAUAGAGGGAAAUUAAAAAAAAAAAAAACACUAAAUUAUAGGAAUGUCUGGUUGAUCUUUUGUUUUUUUUAAUAAAUCUAUCAAAGUUCGAAAAAGAUGUUACUCCAAUUGCGAUAACUCAAGUCUCUCUCACUGUAUAAGUGUCCUUUACAUAAACUUUUAUGGUCAUUAAUUUUGUACCAUAUAUCUUUCUUUCACUAGAACCACCAUAGCUUUCAUGUUACAAUGACAUCUUCAUCUUCAUCUGCGUCUUCAUCUUCAUAUUCAUCUUCAAAACCAUGGAUUUAUGAUGUAUUUUUGAGUUUUAGAGGCGAAGACGCGCGCAAAAAUUUCACCGAUCAUCUCUACUUUGCUUUAAAAGAUGCUGGAAUCAACACAUUUAGAGACGACAAUGGGCUCCGAAGGGGUGAAGAUAUUUCGACGGAGCUAUUACAAGCAAUCCAAAAGUCUAGGAUUUCAGUCAUUGUGUUCUCAAGAAAUUAUGCAAAUUCAAGAUGGUGUCUUGAGGAACUAGUGAAGAUCAUGGAGUGUAGGAGAAGCUUUAGGCAACUUGUUUUUCCUAUAUUCUAUGAUGUCGAUCCAUCUGAUGUAAGGAAACAAACUGGAAGUUUUGCAGAGGCCUUUGCUGGACAUGAAGAAAUGUUUGUGCUCCAGACAGACAAGGGCAAGGUGGCUACAUGAUAUUUUUAAAUCAUUUUAAUACAUUAAUAUUAAAAUUAAUUUUUUAAAAAUAAAAAUAUUAUUAUAAUAUAUUUCUAAAUAAAAAAACAACUUCAACACGUUUCAUAACUUUUCUACCAACCAGCACAGUGGGCAUAACAGUACGAAAAUACCUUUUUUCGUAUCGCGAUUGCUAAAGUCUUUGGCUGUCUCCCUCAGUAAUUAAAGUGUCCCUCGCAUUAAUUUUGUACCAUAGAUCUGUCUUUCUCUCGCCACCAUAGCUUUCAUGUUACAAUGACAUCUUCAUUUUCAUCUGCGUCUUCAUCUUCAUCUUCAUAUUCAUCUUCAAAACCGUGGAUUUAUGAUGUGUUUUUGAGUUUUAGAGGCGAGGACACGCGCAAAAAUUUCACCGAUCAUCUCUACUUUGCCUUCAAAGAUGCUGGAAUCAACACAUUUAGAGACGACAAUGAGCUCCGAAGGGGUGAAGAUAUUUCGACGGAGCUAUUACAAGCUAUCCAAAAGUCUAGGAUUUCAGUCAUUGUGUUCUCAAGAAAUUAUGCAAAUUCAAGAUGGUGUCUUGAGGAACUAGUGAAGAUCAUGGAGUGUAGGAGAAGCUUUAGGCAACUUGUUUUUCCUAUAUUCUAUGAUGUCGAUCCAUCUGAUGUAAGGAAACAAACUGGAAGUUUUGCAGAGGCCUUUGCUGGACAUGAAGAAAGGUUUGUGCUCCAGACAGACAAGGGCAAGGUGGCGACGUGGAGGAUGGCUUUGACUGAAGCUGCAAAUUUGUCUGGAUGGGAUUUGAGGAAUGUUGCGGAUGGGUAAGCACUCAUAAAAUCAACCAUCCUUGCUAAUUUAAUGGACUUUAUAAUUUGAAUUAAUAGUAAUUCUUAUGUUAUCAAUGAUAUGACCUAAGUGAUAAAAUUCUCCAAUUUGAACCAUUUAAAUUGUUUUUUUUCUCUGUUUAGUUUUUAAAGAAAAGAGAUGAAUGACAGGUUGUUUGUCUUUUAAAAAAUUAAAUAAAAACAAGUCCAGGUUUGAGGGUUGGGCUCUAUAUUUUUUUUUUUUUAGAUGGUCUAGACAUGUUGGUUUAAUGCUCACGCAUCUGGCUUCAUUAAGGUUUUUUUUUUUUUUAAAAAAAAAUUAUAUUAGAUAAAAAAUAAAUUUAAUAAAAAAAAAUUAUAAAAUCUAGUUGAGAAUAUAACUUGUAGUGUCAUAGACUUGAUAAGUUAAUAUCAUAUAUUCAAGUUAAUGUAAUAUAUUAUUGUCUGAAUAAUUUUUUUAAAACUUAUAUCAAAUUAAAUUUAAAAAAAAACAUUUGGUGUAUUUCUUUGUGAUGUAUUAUUUUUGUGAGAUUUAACUCUUACAUAAUUGUCAUAGCGUGGUUAGAUUAUAAAACUCGAGGUGAUUAAAUAUAUUAUUAUUUUUUUUAAAAAAAAAUAAAUGAUUUGAAGAAUUGUUUUUAAGCAUUUUGUUGUUUUUAAUUGAUUUUCAUGAUAUAUUUUGUUUUGAUUUUUAUAUAAUUAAUUAUUUUUUAUUUGGUUUUUGUAGGAUUUAUUAGUUUUAAUUUAUUUUUUAUUUAAUUUUUUAUCAUCUUGAAUUUUGUUUUUAAAUUCAAACCCCAUUAUUACAGUGGGUAUGAGCUACUUGUUGUCGAAUAGCUACUAAAGAGUUUCUAAAACAUCAUUGAUAGGCUCCAUCUUGCAUCUUACCCAAUCCAAUCACUUUCUUUGUUUUGAAGUCCUGAUAAAUACAAAAUCCCGGAAAGAACACAACGAAAUUUGAAUCUUUGGUAAAAGAUUACAUAUAAAAUAAUGGCUGUGAAAAAUUAUACGCAAUUGGCACCGGUAAUUGGUUAAUUAAGUGCAGUGGUUAUUAGGGAUUUUUUUUAUAUGCAGCAUUUGUCAAUGUAUAAAUCACUUCAUUGGCUUGUGAGGAGUGAUCGAUCUUGAAAAUCUAACCUGCACUUUUCAAUUUUGAAACCGAGCAAUUUGGACCAUCAAUUGGAGAACGUUGGGAUCAUUUUUUGGAAUCUUGGACACAGAUUCAUGUGAUGCAAAUCCAAGUUGAUCACAGACAACAUCAAUGAUGAUGUUGGCUCAAAUCUGUUAUAUUAUUAACCUCUGAAGAGGCAUUAUCUCAUGUUUUUUCUCAUAACCCCAUAGUGGGUUUUGUUAUAAGAACGUGCCUUUUGAAAAGAGAGCUGGUAUCUAGAGCUUUUUAGUUGUUAGGGACUAAACUACUAGUCGAUUUGGUGUAUGGAUAUCAUCACUAUCCAAUUUAUUUUGAAAAAGAUUUCAAUAAAUAAAUAAUUUUAAUAAUUUAGGUAACGAUAUAUACUGAGAAGAAGUACAUUAUCAGUAGAUAAUCCAGGGUUGAGGAAAUAAAUGGUGAUCCAAGGAAUAUGAGAUGUUUUGCUUGGGGCUGGAUUUUCUUCAGGAAAACUACAAAUUAUAAAAUAUUUUGGAUAAUGCUUUACAUAAUAUAUUCUAAUUGGCUGUUUUAUGCUUAAAGUCUCACUAUUUUAUUGACAAUUAUUUGCAGGCAUGAAGCAAAAUUUAUAAAGAAAAUUGUUGGGGAAAUUUUGAGAGAACUGCGUAGCACAUACUUGUUCGUAGCCUUCUAUCCAGUUGGGAUAAAUCGUCGUGUGCAACAAUUGAACUUUUUGUUAAAUGCUGGAUCAAGCGAGGUCUGCAUUGUAGGAAUAUAUGGAAUGGGAGGCAUAGGGAAAACAACCAUUGCCAAGGCCAUGUAUAAUGAGUUGUUUCAUAGUUUUGAUGGGAAAUGUUUUCUAGCCAAUGUCAGAGAAAUUUCAAAGCAGCCAAAUGGUCAUGUCAAACUGCAAGAACAACUUCUUUUUGAUAUCCUGAAGAAAGACAAGAUUAAGAUUGGCAGUGUUGACAGAGGAAUGACUAUGAUAAAGGAAAGACUUCACAGUAGAAGAGUUCUUCUCGUACUUGAUGAUGUAGAUAAAUUAGAUCAGUUACAAGCGAUAGCGGGGAGUCGAGAUUGGUUUGGUUCAGGAAGCAGAAUCAUUGUAACAACAAGAGAUGAGCAUGUUCUAACAGUUCUUGGAGCUGAUCGAGUAUACAUGGCUAGAGAAAUGAAUGACAUUGAAGCUUUGGAGCUUUUUAGUUGGCAUGCCUUUCGAGCAAGCCAUCCCGUCGAAGAUUAUAAGGAGUUGUCGGAACAAAUUGUUGACUACUGUGGAAGAUUGCCACUAGCACUUGAAGUAAUAGGCUCUUUUCUAUUUGGUAGAAGAAUAGUUGAAUGGAAAAGUGCAUUGGAAAAACUGAGAAGAAUUCCUGAUGAUCAAAUUCAGAAAAAGCUCCAAAUAAGUUUUGAUGGCCUGAAUGAUGACACACAGAAAGAUAUAUUCCUCGAUAUAUCCUGUUACUUUAUUGGGAUGGACAAGGAAUAUGUGUUACCAAUAUUAAAUGGUUGUGAUUUUUUCGCAGACAUUGGAUUUAGUGUCCUCACUCAGAGGUGCCUUGUAUCUGUUAAUGAAAAGAACAAGCUAAUAAUGCAUGAUUUGCUUAGAGAUAUGGGGAGAGAAAUUGUUCGUGCGCAAUCACCGAACAAUCCAGGAAGGCGGAGUAGAUUAUGGAUUCCUGAAGAAGUUGGUGACAUAUUGAGAAGAAACAUGGUGAAUGCAUUCAAACUUAUCAUCGUAUAAAUUCAUGUUUUGAAAAAUAUCUGAUCCUUUCCUCUUGAUGUGGUUUAUUGACAGGGAACUGAAGCAAUCCAAGGGAUGGCCUUAAACUUGCUGAAAGUGAAUGACAUGAAAGUGGAUGUAAAUGUGUUUUGCAAGCUGCAAAACCUAAGGCUGCUCCAGCUCAAUCAUGUAAAGCUUGGUGGAGGCUGUGAGUAUCUUUUGAGAAAAUUAACCUGGCUCUGUUGGCAUGGAUUUCCACUCUCGUUCAUACCUGAUGGCCUCUACGGGGAAAACCUUGUUGCUAUAGAUAUGCGAUACAGCAACCUAAGACAGGUUAAGAAUUCUAAGGUAUGCUAAGACUAUCAAAUAUUUAUCUAAACUUUAGUAUGCUAUCAAACAAUAACAAUUUCUUUCUAACUCCUGAAUCUUGUUUCUUUUGCUCAGUUCCUUUUGAAGUUGAAGUUUCUUAAUCUCAGUCAUUCUCAUUACCUAUCUCGGACUCCCGACUUUUCCAGACUUCCACAUCUGGAGAAGUUAAAACUCAAAGACUGCAGAAGUUUGGUUGAAGUUCAUCAUUCUAUUGGAUACCUUGAUAGUCUUGUUUUGGUAAAUUUCAAAGAUUGCAAGCAACUUAUGAGGCUCCCGAGUAGCUUCUGGAAGUUGAAGUCUAUCGAGAUUCUUUACCUCUCAGGCUGCUCAAAAUUUGAUGAAUUGCCUGAGGACUUGGGAGAUUUGGAAUCCUUGACAGUUCUCCAUGCAGAUGACACUGCCAUAAGACAGGUACCAAGUACCAUAGUAAAACUGAAGAACCUCAAAGAUUUAUCACUUUGUGGCUGCAAAGGUUCAACUUCCGCAACAUUUCCUUCACGUUUGAUGUCAUGGUUUCUGCCAAGAAAAAGUCCCAAUCCACCCAACCUGUUGCCACCUUCUUUUCAUGGCUUAAACAGACUCACAUCAUUAUUGCUCAGUGAUUGCAAUCUAUCUGAUGAUGCGCUUCCUAGAGAUCUUGGGAGCUUACCCUCACUAACCAAACUGGAAUUGGACCGUAACAGUUUUCAAAGUCUACCAGCUGGCUUGAGUAGUCUUUUGAGACUUAAAAGUCUAAGAUUAGACGAUAAUACAAGGCUACAAACAAUUCCAGCUUUACCUAGAAAUUUGGAUGUCUUGCACGCUUUGAACUGCACAUCAUUGGAAAGACUGUCAGACAUAUCAGUAGCUUCACGUAUUCGUUUACUCUACAUUGCUAAUUGCCCCAAACUGAUUGAGGUUCCAGGAUUGGAUAAAUCAAGGUCCGUUACACACAUUGACAUGGAAGGGUGCUACGAUAUCUCAAAUACUUUUAAAAAUAGCAUGCACAAGGUAUUCUUCCUCUGUGUCUCUUUACUUGUUAAACAUGUUGUCCUAUGUUGUUGUUAAAUAUAUCAAAUGAAAAUGGUACUCUUUGUGCAGGGAUGUAUUUCUGGUUUGGUACUUCCUGGAAAUGAGAUUCCUGCCUUGUUCAACUAUAAGAAUGAGGGUGCUUCAAUAUUGUUUAAACUACCAAAAUUCGACGGCAGGAACUUGAAGGGCAUGAAUGUGUGCAUUGUUUGCUCAUCUCAUUUAGAGAAAAAACAAACUAAAAGUAUUACAAUCAAAUUGACUAAUCAUACUAAGGGUUUUACCAAGGAUUGUCGGAAUGUAGCUGUUAACUUAGUAAAAUCCUGUGAAGAUCACCUCUGGCAGGGCCAUAUAUCAAAUAAGAGCUUCCAACUUGAUAGUGAAGAUGAAGUUGAGCUUAUUGUAGAUUGUGGAAAUACAAUGACUGUGAAGAAGAAUGGAGUAUACCUAGUAUAUGAGCAAGACGAGGCAAGACUUAAAGCUAAGAGAGUUCUUGAUAAUGAUGAUGGGGAAGGAUCAAGCUGUGAUAACCUAUCUCAAGCAAAAAGAUUGAGGUUUGAGACCAGUCAACAGAGUGUCGAGGAAAACAUGGAUGUGGCGUAGCUUCACCCUUCAGGUCUCGGCGUUUUCCAUGUUGUCUUUGUUGAAGCUUUUGUUCAACAUAAUGAUCUAUACAUUAUGCCUGUGUUAUGUGUAGUAAAGGGUAUUUGUGAUGGAGGAGAUUUUGGAAGUGCUAUACUAUUUUGACAGGACAGUCCAGCGCAAGGAUAGUAGCAAAUAAUAGUCGGAGUCUGAUUUGUGAACUUUUUACGUCCCUCUCAGUAUUUUCGCCAUAACUUUUGUUCCGAGUUGCACGUCGUCGCAUGCAACCGACAAUAUUUGUUGGGGUGGUUUUUUGCCCUAAAUUCCAUAGGCCUCUUAUUAUAGACUUGAAUUAUUUUUUCUAGAAAAAUAAAAUGUUUUAAUUUUUAAUUAAUUAAAUAUUGAAAGAAUUUUUUUUAAAAAAAAUCAAUUAUACAAAAAAAGUCAAAAAUCUCAUUACCCCUCAUUUAACAAGAUAAUUAUAUAAAAACCAUUGUAAAAAUAUAAAAUUGGCCAUUGACUCUAGCUUUAAUUUUUUUUUAUUCCGCCAGUAUUUUGAUUGAUUCUAUGUAUAAUUAAAAUAAAAAAAAUUAUUUGUUUCUAAUCAAUUGGGCAACACUAUGAUUUUUUAUUUUAUUGAUUGAGUGAUAAAAAUAUUAAAAUAGAAUAACUAAAAUGAUUUUCAAAGGGAUUUGGAUUGUGUUCUAUCUAUAUCUCUCUGCAAGUUGCCAUCUUUGUGGCCGACAUUGACAAAGAAUAUAUCUUGUUUAUUAACAAGUGAACUCAAGAGGUUUUUUUCAAACAAUAGAUAAAAAAAAAUUAACGUGGAGUUGACUUUAUUUUUUUAAAAAAAAUAUUUUUGAAAUAUUUGAAAUAUUUUUUAAAUAUUUUUUAAAUAUUUUUUUUUUAAAUAUUUGAUAUCCUGAAGACAGACAAGAUUAAGAUUGGCAAUGUUGACAGAGGAAUGAAUAUGAUAAAGAAAAGACUUCACAGUAGAAAAGUUCUUCUCAUACUCGAUGAUAUAGAUAAAUUAGAUCAGUUACAAGCGAUAGUGGGGAGUCGAGAUUGGUUUGGUUCAGGAAGCAGAAUCAUUGUAACAACAAGAGAUAAGCAUGUUCUAACAGUUCUUGGAGCUGAUCGAGUAUACAUGGCUAGAGAAAUGAAUGACAUUGAAGCUUUGGAGCUCUUUAGUUGGCAUGCCUUUCGAACAUGCCAUCCCGUCGAAGAUUAUAAGGAGUUGUCAGAACAAAUUGUUGACUACUGUGGAAGAUUGCCACUAGCACUCGAAGUAAUAGGCUCUUUUCUAUUUGGUAGAAGUAAAGUUGAAUGGAAAAGUGCAUUGGAAAAACUGAGAAGAAUUCCUGAUGAUCAAAUUCAGAAAAAGCUCCAAAUAAGUUGUCGCACGUGUGCGGCGUCGCGGCGAUCGCCCACCCACACUCAAUUAUGUGUGGAUCUGGAAAAUAUGGGGAGACAAGGAAUUCUUUGUCUCUUAGCGGUGAAAAAUGGGAAUGGGAGUCGCCACUUAGUAUUCUGGUCACUAGGAACCCUAACUGGUCUCAGAGAUCGGGUACGGAGACUGGUUGCGUAAAGGAAAGGUAUUAGCACUCCAAAUACGCCCUACCUAAGGUAAGCUGCAUUGUUUUAUUUGUCUGAUCAAAAUCUAGGGUUUGGUCGCGUUUUCUAAUUGUUGGUUCGGUCUGUCUAAGAUUCAAGAAAAGCCCUCCUAAAAAAGGAGGUUCUUAUCUUAAUGAGGUAAAACUUAACCGUUCUAUCGUCAAAUAAAAAAAACUACCUUUUUAAUAUCGAGAGUACGUUUUACGUAUAAAUUCGUAAUCUCGGAUAUUAAAAGAAAACAAAAUAAUUUUUUUGGAAUUUUGAAAUAUUGGUCAAGUUCUCAUGACUUUAAUAAACUGGUUAUUAAAGCCAAAAUGCAUGAUAAAACAUUUUUUUUUUUGAAGUUUUCUUUGUUGUAUGAAAAUAGAAUAUGAGUUUUUUAGCUUUGAGAGAUUUGGCCGUAUGCAUGAAAACAAAAACAUUUUUUUUUUUAAUGUUUUGAUGAAAAUCGGGUAUUUUAAUACCGAAUGUGUAUUUUUACGAUGUAAAAAUACAAACCAAUAUUAAGCAAAAUUUAGUAAAAAAAAUACGCGGAAGAAUCACAAAUUUUCUAAAAUAUUAUUAUUAUUUUUAAAAAAUUUUUUUUUGGACCGGGCUGGACCCGGCCCACUCAUUUUGGACUGGGCCGGACUUGUCCGGCCCAGUGAACAGUGGAGCACUCUCCACUGUUCACGCAGAACAGUGGAGAGCGACCGGAGAAGAAGCAAGAGAAGGAAACUGACCGGACAGCGCUGGUGGCUCGCUGUGCUGGUCGCGGUGGCGCUGUUGUCGCGGUGGACGGCGGUGGUGGCAGACGGUGGUUCUUCUUCUUCUCUCCUCUGCUUCGCUGCUUCUUCUUCCUCUGUUUCUGUUUUUUCAGUGUUUCUUCUUCUGUUUCUCACGGUGCAGGGCUGUUAUCAAUGACGGGGAGGACGGUGGCAGCUGUUGUUGGCGGCGCUGCUUCCAACGGCGAAGAGAGAGAGGCCGGAGAGAGAGAUUACUGUUCUUCUCUUCUCCUCUGUUAUCUGUUUUUCCCGUCCCCUGUGCUCUGUUCUUCUUUUUUUUUAUCUGCUGGUGGCGGUGGCAGCGACGGGGACUGCGGACGGUGGCUGGGAAACCAGGUGGCAGCUGCUGUGAUGGUGGUUCUGCGGCGGUUCUUCUUCUCUGUUCUGCGUUCCUCCCUGUCUAUAACGUCCUCCUCUCUCUGCCGUGGCUGUGCUGCUGACAGCUCACUAUGCUGGUAGCAAUAGGGGAACUGGGGGGAGCUGCUUGGCCGGUGGUUCUCCUUCCCUUCUCAGCGUUGUCCUCUGUUUCUGGCCUUCUUAUCGCUCAGUGGUUGCAAUUUAUCUGAUGAUGCGCUUCCUAGAGAUCUUGGGAGCUUACCCUCACUAACCAAUCUGGAAUUGGACCGUAACAGUUUUCAAAGUCUACCAGCUGGCUUGAGUAGUCUUUUGAGGCUUACAGGUCUAAGACUGAACGAUAACACAAGGCUACAAACAAUUCCAGCUUUACCUAGAAAUUUGAAUGUCUUGCAAGCUUCGAACUGCACAUCAUUGCAAAGAUUACCAGACAUAUCAGUAGCUUCACGUAUGCGUUUGCUGUAUAUUGCUAAUUGCCCCAAACUGAUUGAGGCUCCAGGAUUGGAUAAAUCAAGGUCCAUUUCACACAUUGACAUGGAAGGGUGCUACGAUAUCUCAAAUACUUUAAAAAAUAGCUUGCACAAGGUAUUCUUUCUCUGUCUCUCUUUACUUGUGAAACAUAUUUUUCUAUGUUGUUGUUAAAUAUAUAAAAUAAAAAUGGUACUCUUUGUGCAGGGAUGUAUUUCUGGUAUGGUACUUCCUGGAAAUGAGAUUCCUGCCUUGUUCAACUAUAAGAAUGAGGGUGCUUCAAUAUUGUUUAAACUACCUGAAUUCGACGGCAGGAACUUGAAUGGCAUGAACGUGUGCAUUGUUUGCUCAUCUCAUUUAGAGAAAGAAGAAACUAAACACAUUAGAAUCAAAUUGACUAAUUAUACUAAGGGUUUUACCAAGGAUUGUCGGAAUGUAGCUGUUAACUUAGUAAAAUCCUGUGAAGAUCACCUCUGGCAGGGCCAUAUAUCAAACAAUUUUUUCGAACUUGGUAGUGAAGAUGAAGUGGAACUUAUUGUAGACUGUAUGAACACAAUGACUGUGAAGAAGAAUGGAGUAUACUUGGUAUAUGAGCAAGAUGAGGCAAGGCUUAAAGCUAAGAGAGGUCUUGAUAGUGAUGAUGAGGCAGGAUCAAGCUGUGAUACUUCUAGCAAAAAGAUUGAGAAUUGAGACUAGUCCGCAGAACAUUGAGGAAAACAUGGAUGUGGC